CAGAAUUAACUCUAUAUGUAGGCAGACUUCCUAAAUUAAUUACAUAUUUUUAAAUGACAUUAUUAAUUUCAGAGUUUUGUUUAAAAUGAAUCUAGAAAAUCAAAGAAGGAAAGGGAAAGUGUAGGUUGGGAUAAACUCUCUCAACAUGCUUGAUGAUCUCUUGAUAAAACAAUAUUUGACCUGCUAAACAUACACAAAUCGAUUAAAAACCAAGUUAAUGUAUUUAUUUUUCAAAAUAUAAUUUCUUUUACUAUUUAAUGAAAUGAUAAGGAAUGAGGUUCUCUCAUACCCAUACCUACAAUAUAAUGCUGCCAUUGAGUCAAUUGAUUAUUCACAAUGAAAUGAUAUUCAUACAACCGCGAACCGCCAAAGCCUAACGAGCCAAGUACUUCCGCACUAUCUUCUUUAAAUGCCAUUUGUCAAAGUGGUUCCACAGCUCUCUUCGCCACGCUGACACCUGUAAUCCCAAGACUCCACCGUCACCAUGGUUGUUUGCCGCACCGAACCAGCGACUCCGUCCUUAAAGCACCCUGUGCGAUUCCCUCAGCAGCCACACUGCUCGAUUGCUUCCCUUUCUCACUUCUCACUAGUCAGUUCAACACCCAUUACGCUAAACAUCC
rnacentral:lncRNA from 1 species